rnacentral:lncRNA from 1 species
UUGACAGUUUGGCUUCCCUGUUCUGGGUGGCAAAGCCUGUGGAGUACUCACCUACCUGCUGCAUGAAGGCAGCAUGGAGGGACUGUGGUGGAUUAUCUGCAAAGAUGGCCAAAAUUCUCUCAUCCCUGCAGGCACAUACAAGCCAGGUUUCCAGAAGUUCCCCAGUCAUUGAGCAUUUCUGAGGCUCUUGAUGCAUAUGCCAAGUAGUUAUGGAGAAAGACACAGCAGCUUACCUCUGCAGGCAUCAUUGUGUGAAAGGAAGACCCAGGCUCUCUCACCACCCUUCAACAGAAGCCUUUUGCUAAGGAGUUUGCAGUUCACCCGCAAACCUCAGCGAUCCAAGCUCCCCUGGAUGACCAUCACUCACCAAGAAAAGAACAAUAACAGGACCUGUUUUGCUAAUCCAGGACUGUUCUCCAGCACUAACUCUAAAUAAUCCCUUCUGCUAGAGUCCACUUUCUGGAACCUGUUGCCUCCGUUUUCAACGUUUCCCAAACUUGGUCCGUUGUGUGAGCUGGCUGAUAAAAGUUCCAGGGAGAGGACAUCUUACUCUUAUUGGAUCAUGCACAGUGCCUGAAGCAUUCUGUUGCAUGUAGAAAUCAGUAAAUUGCAGAUGUAAGAUUCAAAACCAGACUUCACAUCUACCGACUUCAGUGACCCUGAAAUUUGUUCACAGAGAGCAUUUAACAUAACUGUCUUCAUCAUCUCCUUCUCUACAUUAAAAAUUAUGGAAAAGUUGCUAAAACUGCUGUGAGAUUCUGGCUAAGAAAGUUUCAUGAGAAGUUUUACAGAAAAAUGUGAACAGAAGACAGAACUAGAUAUAAAUUUGAAUGGUAAUCUAAAUAAA